CAAAUAACCAUUUCAGGCAACUACAAUAACAUAAUUAUGAAUAUACUGAGAAGAUGUUCAGAUUCAAAUUUGCCAAGAAUGAUAUCAUAUAUGCGUUUUACAAAUCAAAAUUUGUUACAGAACAACCAAUGUGGAUAUCCAACCCUUAAGGAAAAAUUAAUAGAACUCAAGAUGGUGGGCUGGGGGGAACAUUAAAAUCUGUAGUUCUACUGGAAGUAAUGGUACAAAAGGCAUUAAGUGCAUGGCUGGCCUCAAUGGAACAAAGAAUAGAGAAUGGAAUUGGGUACAAUGAAGAAGCUUUCAGUUAUAUUACUAGUUACUUUUCCACAGAGAUGAUGUAUUUUAAUGAAGUCGAAAGGAAUUCCUCGCCCCAACGAAUAACUAGAGUCUUGCAUCCAAUAUGCAUUUCCUUCACAUUUAAAUUGCAAGAUUUGAAGUGUGUCGUCAGCUACCAGCAUUUCUGUAGCAUUCUGGGGCACUAAACCAUCAGCAGGCACUAAAUCUUUUGUGUGGUAAAGAAUAAUGUACAGAAAUAGGCUUCAAAAAACAUGAAUGCCUCUUGCAUUUUAUUCUGUUGCUUGUUGAUGUUGAUGAAGAAUAUUUCGCUUCUCAGAUGACCUGUGACGAAACAACUUUGCUACGGCUCUUCUCUCGCAAUCCUACAACAUAAUAUGUGAAUAAAUUUAAAAAUGAGAAUAGGCUAUUAAAAAAUGUAAUUAUAACAACUGGUUCUAAUUUGAAAACUUUGCUAUUAGUGUCGCUCUUUCUGUUCACUUUUAGUGGAGAAAAAUUAUCAAUAGAAUUCUGCACCUUGAACAUGUUUAGAUAAAAUGGUUUGCCCAGAUUCAUCCUUCUCAAUUUCUGGUAUGUAUAUGCGAAACUAAGUUGAUCACGAGGAGUGAAGCGAUCAACCUCAUUGAACCAAAGACAUGAGAACAGGUUUGACAUGGGAGUGUGCGCUCUUACAAUUAAAGACCCUUCAGGUACAUUGCUGGGAAGAAGCUUAUUUGGAUCAGAGGCAUUGAAUCUUUUCAGUCCAUCAGCCUGGUAGAAAGUAAAUUGCUGAUCUAUAACAGUAUGAUUGUACUUGUUCAAUCUCUUGUUCUGUGCAACCUCUUCCCAUACACAAUGGCGAUCAUAGUGAUUAGAAAUGGCAUAUUCAUGACCUUUUCGCCCCAGAAAAUAUUCCAGAACGAGCAAAGGGUCAAGUUGAAGACGUAAUUUGCUAUCCAACCAGAUUGAAUACCUGAGAAAAUAUUUAUAUGGUAAAGAUUUAUAUUCAAGUGACACAGCAAGAUCGGAUGGAAUUCCUGCUUAUCCAUAAAGUUAAUGAUUUCAAUGAGCAACUAGCUCAAUAUUCUUUCAAGAUGACAGUUGCAUAAGCAGUACCACUCUGAACUUUGAACCAAACUGUACAAGCAUCCUGGACAGAGUUUUAGGACACAGUUUUCCGCAUGCAUAAAACAUAGAUUCUACUUCCAAGGACAUAAAGCAAAGUACCCAGAACCAACCAAAAUGGAGCCAACUAAAGAAUCCCAAAAGUUAGAUUUCUAGAAGAUGAUGCUAUGCAGAAAUUAAAAGGAUAGAGUCAAUUUGUUUUUACUAAAGCAAAAAACAAAGGGUGCAUGUUCUUCAAAUUCAGGUCAGGGGAUACCCUGAUCCAGAAUAGGCACAUUCAAUUUUUUCUUAUAAUCAGGAGAAUCACUAUUGCAGUGCCAUUACCCAUUGUUCCAAGAUUUCAGUAUCAGUCAGCUAGUAGACAAGUGCAUUUUAGUUAGAAGAGAGAGUGGCAGAGUUUCAAAAAAUAUAAAGAAAAAGAAGGGAAGUGAAGUAGUAAAAGUGUGACUUCCACUUAGCGCACCAGAAACACAACUAUUCUCUAAACCUCUCAAUAAAUCUCUAUUGAGAAUAAAUCUCCAAGAAAAAGGUGCAAGCACCAUUUCAAUUUGCAUUUGAAUGUCCAUUAGAAAAAUCUGUCAAACUGUUCCCGAAUCUCCAAGAAUGCAACAUUGUCGUUAGGUCUUUCUUUUCUCCCUUUUAAGGUCAUCAAAUAAAUAAGCAGCUAAAAGCGUUACAAGCAAUAGAAACUACACUAACAAACAAUAGUAAGCCACUAAUCACAGUAUUCUCAAAAUUACAUGCAUAACAAGAUAAAAAUUUCAAUAAUAAACUCUGACUCUUACCUUGCAGAAGGGAAAAGCCGGUGUGGCAACAAUUUUGGUAUUUUGCCCACUCUCCGCAUAUCUGUAUAUGGUUGAUUCUUCACCACCACAAUCUUCCAUAAACCAAUAAAACCAGCUCUAUCUGGGAUUUGACCUUCCGAAGAAAGUGUUUGCAAAGUAACUUCAUCCACGAACAUAACAAAGCAGACGUUUUUCCUUGACAAGCGAGUGACCAUUUUACUAGUAGGUGACCUCAAACGAUCUGAAUUUCCAAAGAUACAAGAGAUUACAGCAAUGUGGCAUCUACUGACAUAAUUUGCAUCAUCUUCUGCCAAAUCAAAUCCUGUACUUGGGGAUCCUUCAGGACCUUUAACAAAGCCACAAUUUAUUUUUUGAUCAUGAACCAAAAAUGAUUCUUCCCGUUCUUGCAAGCUCUGAUGCCCGGCAAAUCUGGGCUCCCAUUGUUCAUCCACAUUGGGCCUCUCCUCCAUUUCCACAUACUGCAAGGAAAAUCUUGAAAAUUUAUGACUUUCAAAAGGCUCGACAAGUUGUGAAGUAGAAUUUAGAAACUUCGUCUCACAAGACCCAGAAAAUUUCCGGCGCCUUUUUCUUUUUGAGUCUGUCUGUGAUUUGCUUGUAGAUUGACUGCCAGUAGCACGAACUUGUCGAGAAUUACUGUGAAUAUUAUCCAUAGUUCUGGAAUUCAAAGACUUCUCUAACAUAUUAUCAGAGACUUCCUGACUGUCCUUGGCAAUACUUUGAUCCUUAGUUUCAGCAUCAUGUAAACUAGAGGACUCUCUACCAUCAUUAUCAUGGGAUAUUCCUAUAGCAGUGUGGUCACCACUUUCAUUUUCAGAAUCGCCGUAUUCCUCCAUAUGAGGAUCGUGGGAAUCAGUACCAUCAUCAUACUCAUUAUCAGUAUCAACUAGCUCAUUCUGCUCUACAUUAUCCUCAUCAUCAAGUAACUGAUUUUUAUUGUCAUUUUCAUUUCUUGAUUGGCUAGUAUUCUUUAGAGAGGCCUCAUACUCUGCUUCAUACCUUUUUAAUUCAUUACGUCCAUCUUCAUUGUACAAUCCAACUCCUCUUUGCUCUAAACCCUUAAAAGGAUCAUCUUGAGAAGUCUUCUCCUUUCCUACCUUCACUUCCACUGGAUCAUGGUCCUUUUCAGCAGAUCCACCCCUAGCUUCCUUACCAUCAUGAGUCACAUCAUCCUCAUUAUAAUCUCCUUCCCUUCUUCUAUCAUCCCUAUCCCAAUACCUAGAAUCCCGUCCAUGUCCCACUGAACCUUGGCCAAAGCCAAGGACUCUAAAGUUGUCUGUUCGGGUAACAUUUGUAAGAAAAUCCAAAUCAUUCUUCAUCUCACCAUCAUCAACAUGAUGAGCAUUUAUUUCUGCACCUUUAUCAUCGGCGGAGAGGUAAUAGUAAGCUAAAAUAGUAACAGCAAGCACAACACAUAAAACCACAAUGACCGCUCCGAUCGAGAAGGCAGCAGCACUGCCCUUAUCAGAUCGAGCCCAUCGGCGAACCCUCACCGGCUUGUACUGCUGGUCCAGAGAAGUCCGAGGACAAAUCCCAAUGGACAAGUGAUCCGACGUACCGUUUGAGUAAUGGUGUCCAGAUUGCCGGUACUGCGCCAUUCCUAUACAUUUAUCAUGCGCUCACUCACGCACUGCAUUCACCGCCAAAUUCAACAAUGCCUCAAUAGAAACUCCCGAUUUGUAAUGCUCUGUACGUAUAAUCGUGUACACAGAUAUAUAUAUAUAUAGAGAGAAAGAUGGAGGAAAUGAACAGAGCGAUUUAGGUGACUGGUCCGCCAGAGAAAGAGAGAGACGGAGAAGGAUUUGGUGUUUGAUAUUAGAUAGGGACU
rnacentral:misc_RNA from 1 species